GUAWUUUGAAGAGGSCGACUCUGGAGGCGGCCCUUGCCUAUGUUCCUUGGAACAGGACGUCACARAGGGUGARAAUCCCGKGCGGCGAGGUGGCCCGGCUCCGKGUAGAGUGCUUUCRAARAGUCGAGUUGUUUGGRAAUGCAGCUCUAAKUGGGKGGUAAAUUCCAUCUAAAGCUAAAUAUUGGCGAGAGACCGAUAGCGAACAAGUACAGUGAUGGAAAGAUGAAAAGAACUUUGAAAAGAGAGUGAAAAAGUACGUGAAAUUGUUGAAAGGGAAGGGUAUUARAUCARACUUGGCGGUUUAGGGGAUCCCCGCGCCCUUGUGGCGGGGGCCACUCCUCUAGCGCUGGGCCAGCAUCGAUUCGRACGGCGGGAGAAUGGCUKGGGGGAAUGUGGCAGGGGCCCUUUGUGGCUGCUGKGUUUAUAGCCCCCGGCARAUSCCGCCKGNGUGGAUCGAGGAGKGCGUUCUUAUGGACUAGGAUGCUGGC
rnacentral:rRNA from 1 species